rnacentral:rRNA from 1 species
AGAGUUUGAUCCUGGCUCAGAUUGAACGCUGGCGGUAUGCUUAACACAUGCAAGUCGAACGGUAACAGGCAGAGCUUGCUCUGUGCUGACGAGUGGCGGACGGGUGAGUAACGCGUGGGAAUCUACCCAGAAGUUCGGGACAACCUGUUGAAAAGCAGGCUAAUACCGAAUGUUGUCUACGGACUAAAGGAGGGGAUCUUCGGACCUUUCGCUUUUGGAUGAGCCCGCGUUAGAUUAGCUAGUUGGUGGGGUAAAGGCCUACCAAGGCGACGAUCUAUAGCUGGUCUGAGAGGACGAUCAGCCACACUGGGGACUGAGACACGGCCCAGACUCCUACGGGAGGCAGCAGUGGGGAAUAUUGGACAAUGGGGGCAACCCUGAUCCAGCAAUACCGCGUGUGUGAAGAAGGCCCGAGGGUUGUAAAGCACUUUCAAUUGUGAAGAAAAGUUGUGGUUUAAUACGCCAUGACCUUGACGUUAACUUUAGAAGAAGCACCGGCUAACUCCGUGCCAGCAGCCGCGGUAAUACGGAGGGUGCGAGCGUUAAUCGGAAUUACUGGGCGUAAAGCGUGCGUAGGCGGUUAUUUAAGUCAGAUGUGAAAGCCCCGGGCUCAACCUGGGAACUGCAUUUGAAACUGGAUGACUCGAGUUUGGUAGAGGUGAGUAGAAUUCCUAGUGUAGCGGUGAAAUGCGUAGAUAUUAGGAGGAAUACCAGUGGCGAAGGCGGCUCACUGGACCAAAACUGACGCUGAGGCACGAAAGCGUGGGGAGCGAACGGGAUUAGAUACCCCGGUAGUCCACGCCGUAAACGAUGUCAACUAGUCGUUGGGCCUUUCGGGGCUUAGUGACGCAGCUAACGCGUGAAGUUGACCGCCUGGGGAGUACGGCCGCAAGGCUAAAACUCAAAUGAAUUGACGG